UACGUAGGGUGCAAGCGUUAAUCGGAAUUACUGGGCGUAAAGCGUGCGCAGGCGGUUAUGUAAGACAGAUGUGAAAUGCCCGGGCUUAACCUGGGAACUGCAUUUGUGACUGCAUGGCUAGAGUUUGGCAGAGGGGGGUAGAAUUCCACGUGUAGCAGUGAAAUACGUAGAUAUGUGGAGGAACACCGAUGGCGAAGGCAGCCCCCUGGGUCAAGACUGACGCUCAUGCACGAAAGCGUGGGGAGCAAACAGG
rnacentral:rRNA from 1 species